rnacentral:lncRNA from 13 species
UAAAGAGAUCGUGUGAGAGCCCCUUAAGAAACCAGCGUGCGAGGUGAAAGCGCCAAUUGCGCGCUCUCAUUGUCAGUCACGGCCGAGCCGCAAACUGUACGGUUGCAUUUCUCGUGGUUCUCUCGUGAUUCUCAUACAGCGCGAAAAUCGACAUCGUUGAGCGAAGAAAGACGAAGCUCGUUUCCUCCAAAACGUCGCGCGAAAACAUCUGCGAAACACGCGUGCGAUCGGUCGCGGACGCAUCUCGCAUCCGCCAGGGCAUCUCGGCUCACUCGCUGAACUACGCAUUGAGACGAGAUGUGGAAAUGAGAGAGACGCUAAAGACCCGACGACCCAACACGCAAGCACAGAUGAUGAUCGCAAGUUACUUCGACCUUGGGGAAGCGGUUCGGGAGAAUAACCCGAGUUUCUACUUUCUUCGGUAAUGACAAAUCAAGCAGGAUCGCACUAAACUACAUUCUCUUUUUUUUUCUUGGAAAAGCUGGCUUGAAUUUGCAUUAAUUGUCACCAUCACGAUGCGCAAUAAAUCUUAAUUUAUCUAUGAGAUCUUCGGAGGUGUUUCAACAGAUAUAUUCAUGGGUGUUCCCAGAGUUUCAGUCAGAGGAGGACCGAAAAAAUUUAUCUUCACACAAAAUUUAUUAAGAUACUUCCCAAGUAGCACAUAUUUCAUAAACGUUUUAUAAAUAUGUACAUAGUUUUAUAAAGAAUCAAUAAGAAACAUCAGAAACGUUUCUAAAACCAUAAUUUAUAAAAUGUAAUUUAUACAUUUCUAAACAGUCAAGAAAGAUUUCUAUAUUGAUUUCUUAAACGUAUUUUUACCAGAAAAGAAACAUUUUAUCUAACAAGUGGAAAUUUUAACUCAAAAGAAACGUUUCUAGGAUAUAUAAAAGGACGUUGUAAAACGAUUAUAAAUGGUUCCAACAAACGUUUAUAUAACAUUUUUGAAAUGUAUAUGUGCUACCUAAAGUUAUACUGAUGUUAGUUUUCGAGGAUCUUCAGCGAACUUUCUCAAUAUUUCUUUAUCUCGAGCAUCAUUUUUCUAUGUACCUAGCAUACAUAGUCUUUUGAGGCGAUUUUCUAACAUUAAAGCACCUAGAUUUUUAUUCUUUACCAAAAGACCUUUCAAUGAUACUUAUUGUACAAAUUUGGUCUAAGAAAAUAUGCAGGACAUAUUUUGUUGUCGGGAAAAAAGUUUCAACUUUUUUUAACAUCUCUACUAGUUCCAAAAUUUUAUUAAGUUCUUUUAGUUUUUUUAUCCCUCCUAGAAAAUAAAACGUGAAUCACAUAUUCAA